CGGCCGCCAUUUUUAGAGCGUGAGGUGCCCAGUGAUCUGACUGACGAGUCCGGGGCGUAGUGCGACUCCAACCGCUCAGGGUCCUGCGACGUACAUUAACCACAGCCGCACUUUGGCCGUCACCACCCAACACACCGACGACUGCAUUGUACUCAUUACAACAGUCUAGGGUGAUGGCACCUCCCCAUUCCAAAGAGUCUUAACAAGAUGUCCUCAUAAAACUCGACCUAGUGGGGAUAACUGAAAAGAAAAUAAGAGAAUGGAUGAAACAGGCACAGAGAGGUGAAGUCACCCAGCUGUCACAAGUGGUCCCAAGGCUUCCAGUUUCUGAUUCCAUCAAGAGUGUGGCCAGAGAGAGAGGAGAGGGGAGCAAAGACUCCUGGGGCCUGCCUACAGAUCUGCGCUGUCCCACAUGGCAACCACUAGCCACAGCUACGUGAAAUGUGACUAGUCCGAAUUGAGUUGUGCUGUGAAACACACAUGGUAUUUUGAAGACCUAGCAUGAAAAAAAUAUGUAUUGAUUACAUGUUGAAAUGAUGUUUUUUGAUAUAUUGGUUUAAAUUAAAAUGCCUUAAUAAAAUUAC